UGUCAGUGACUCAGGUGUCUGUACAGUAAGCUGAUGAGCAGUUGUAUCUCACUGUCUCCAGUGUUAAUGUCAAUGGCCUUCAGAAAAAAGUCCAGUGCUUCCUGUUUCCUCCCUUCAGACAAACACUGUUUCCCAGAAUGCACCAGUGAAUCAAACGAUUCCUCUUGAUGUUUGACAUCAUUUGGACUCUGCACUUCAGUGGCUGCACACUGAUGCACAACUUCACUAGAGGCCAGUUGAACGUCAGUGAAGCUCUUUACCAUCACCUUCCUCUUCCUCCUCGCACUCAACCAUGUGUUCACUAGGCUCUGGCUCGUCCUCUGGCUCCUCCCACUCCUCUAAUUUUUCCUCUUUCGUCUCUGGUUCCUCCUCUUCCUCCUCCAUAUCCUGCAGCUGUGACUCUACUCAUGAGCGUCGUGAUGCGAUUGAUGUGUUCAUGCUGCAUCUGCGGUUGGUGCCAUUAUUCAGCAUGGAUUUGGGUGUGGAAGAUCUGAGGCCCAUGAAGCUGCGAGCUAAUGGACUGCUAGCCAAAACAGGUUUCUCCACCUCUUCUUCUUCAUGCCCCUCUUCCUCACCAUCAUAGAUGACUCGCAGUUUUUUCUUCUUGGUGGGGCAGAGCAAGGACUCGUCUGCUGCAGUGAAAUAUACUGAUUUCUGCCUACCACUAUCAUUGUUGGGUGUGGGGUCAGAUUCAUCUAUAGCUCCAAUGGCAGAGGUUUAGAUGCAUCAGCAUCAAACUCGAUGCAGGCUUUUGAAUCAAAGUCCACCUCUGAUAAUGCUUUUGGUAUGUUUGACUCAAUUCCCAACAGAACUACAGAUGAAUCUGAUUGCAUGAAAGGAGAAAUGUGCAAGGUCUGAUUUGAGUGAGUGUGUAUGAUCGGAUUUCUCCUCUAUGAUUAAACGCUCCUCAUCAUUUAUGCUCUUAAACACUUGUCCAAAAUAACUGUCCUGUCACCUGUGUAGAUAAAUCCAUCACAUGCUCAUCCUUCACCUCCAUCCCUCCAUCCAUGCUCAUCGUCUCCAGCUCGUCCGAUCCUGAUUGGGUGAGAUCCACCACGGCAGGUGGGCUGAGGUUAUGGCAGGGUGGCGUGGUUUUGACAUCAUCCAUCGUCGUGUGUUGGUCUGGGCCCUGUUGCCAUGACAGCGGGAGCCAACUGGGUCCUGAGUUCUGAUUAACGCUGUCCAUCAUGAGGCUGUGCAGCUGUGACUCGGCCUGGACCAGGUCCUGCGCUUUCUGCACACGCUGGUCACUGUAAAUACAACACAUACAAAUACAACAGCACGGCACACUCCCGACUUCAAAAAAGAAAUUGCAAGCAUUCUAGCAAAAACUUUCAAAAACAAUUCCUCUAUUGAGAACUGCCCUCCUGCUUUCUGGACUUUUCUUACUCAGCAAGAAAAAGAAAAGAGAAACUUCGGCUCCGGUACAACCGACCUUUUACUACGCAUAGAACAUCUCUAUUUGAGGAAGAGUAAGAAAACAUAUAGUUAAAAGUAAAAAUACUAAAGUGUACCGUAACCCUAAAGCUGAUUGUUUGGUGGGGAGGUGUGUCUGAUUUGCUUAUUCGGAAACAAUCUGAGACGCUGUGACAUUUAUUUCUUCUGGUUUAGUCAAAUUCAGAUUAAUGUUGUUUACAACACAGACAGCAGAAAAUCCAGGUGGAGGAGUUUCAGUUUCUGACACUGUGGUCUCAAUAUCUUUAGAACGAGGAACUGAACUCUCCAUACCUCCUGAACCACACCCUGAUCACAAGCACUUGGUGCUAAUGGGCUAGGGGUUAAGCUUUUGGAAUUAAGGGGCUAGGGGUAGAGAAUGAGUUAGGCAGUAGGAAAUUACCUCUGUUACACUGUUGGUAGACUUGAAAUGUGGAGUUUGUGGAAUAUCAGUAAGACUGUAAUAUCCAGAAUGCACUGCAUGAGAUGAGAGUGAGGAGGGUACAGGAUUCUCUGCAGUGCCAGUGUACACCUCAGAGCUCUGGACUCGAAACUUUACAUUCUGAAACCCUGCAAGACAGAAUUGUGUCCAUAGCACAUUAUCAGUCUUACCCUGUGUGUGUCUGUCUGUCUGUCUGUCUGUGUGGUCACUUCUUCCAUAAGGCAUGUGUUGAGCCAUGGCUGAUGGAUCACAGGACCUGCCCGAUGUACGUGUGACAUCCUCAAAUCCCUCAGAGUAGAGGUGAGGUGUGUGCGUAAAUGGAUUCAUGAGAGUUUCUCAUCUCUCUAGAGACGGAUGUUGAGGAGCAGCACAUGUAGACGGUCACUUCUGCUUUGCAUUCGUUUCCCAGCAGCACUGAGUACUUUCACACACACUGUGACUCAGUCUCCAGCAUACACCCCAACUCCGAGUCUCUCACACAGCGAUGCUGCCUUUUCUGGAUAUGAAUCUCUGCAUACAACAGAGCAGCUGGGUCCUGCUGACCACACACAUGAAGGUUUGGAGGCAGUGUGUUUGAAGUGCCACUGCACUACGAUAAGCCCGCCUUUGAGAGUGAAACUCGCAGCUAGGAGACCAGCAAAACACACUGUGACUGUAAACACACACACACGCACAUGCGUACAUGUUCACAUACACUAUACAUACAUUUACAGUCACAGGUUUGGAUUUAAAAAUGCAUUUUAUUUAAUUUCUGUGUGUGAGUUAUUUAAUGACCUCAUGCUGUGGUUAAUGGGAGGAAAAUCUCUCUUCUCUUUUAUCUCUGGGGUGUGUGUACUGGAGAAACACACAGUUCACCAGCUCCCUCUGCUGGACAUGUGUUGCAUUACCUCUCUCUUUCUCGCACACACAGUCCGUAUAUACUGAAUUUGCCAUGUGACAGGUGUUCCUGGUUCAGUAUGGGUGGAGCUUAUGUGAAUUUUUUUUCAACUUAAUCAUGUGACAUCCGUUAGCUUUUCUUUCCACUUGUUCAGCUUGAUCAUCUAUUUAAUGCUGUAUAGCGACUGCUGGGUAGGUAACGUUAAUGUUCGCUAUGUUAACUAGUGCUGUGGGUAGGUGACGGGCUAGCACAGCUGAUAUUACUAAACUAUUAUACUGUUUAAUUAUAGGCAGGCUUUUAUGCCCACAAAUACUAAAGAAAUAAAAACAGAAGCUAGUGGUAAUGUUAUACAGUUCAGAUUAUACUUAAGCUCCGCCCUCACUUACUCAGACAUGCCUGUCAAUUGGCACAAAAAGCUUGCUAUUUAAAAAAAAAAAACAAAAAAAAAACUUAAAAUUAUUCUAAUUUUACAAAAUAUCAAAAUGUGUCCUUUUAUGUGUGUGUGCUUCACAAUGUGGCCUUAUUGGUAUCUUCUGUACUCUAUGAACUACUGAUCUGAGCUGUUAAAUAAGAGGUGUAAUUUUAAUCAAAUUAUAGUGAUAUGAAAAUGUAAACUGUAAAUAAAGUCUCUUUUUAUCAUGAAUGUGUGUGUCCACUUGAUCCCUUGGCAUGAGCGGGGAUAUUUAUCUAGAGUAUCAGUUACUAUACGAAGUCUGUAGUAACAGCAUUUCUCUGAAGAUGAUUUAAUGGAACUUGUGUUUAGAGUGUAACUUGUACUUUAGUUUUCUUCAUUUUCCCAAAAUUUAACACCAGAUACUUCACAGUACACGAAUACCACAUGGAGAUACAAACUUUAUAGUUGACGUGAGGGUAACACUGUUUACACAAGGGUAACAGGCUUGACACUGAGGUAACACUGUUUACACAAGGGUAAUAGGGUUGACACUGAGGUAACACUGGUUACACAAGGGUAACAGGCUUGACACUGAGGUAACACUGGUUACACAAGGGUAACAGGCUUGACACUGAGGUAACAGGGUUUACGACCUUUAAGUGUAGAGAUCUGAUUAAUUUUAUGUACAUAUGCGUGUUCAUGAAUAAAAAAACGUACUGUCAUGUCUGCUCAACUUUUUUUUGAUGAGGGAUAUGCAAAUUGAAUUUAAAUUCACUAGUCUUACUUAAAUUUCCUAUAUUAACUUGUAGAUUUUAAUUAUAAAUAUAUUUUCUAAUUAUUAUAGUCUCUAUUGUAUCACUGGAACAAUGGCCCAUAUACACUCAGCUAAUCACGUGACAGCAGCACUGUACAUGAAAUCAUGCAGCUACAGGUCAAUAGCUUUAUUAAUGUUCACAUCAAACAUGUAUUAUUGUGUAUGGGGAGGACCGGGUGGGUGUGAGACCCAGUUUCUGUCCCAAUUUCUGUCCCAGUCUGGCCCGGCUCCUUCAGGAACUACUUUAUCUGAUGUGUAUAUCAGCUGCUUAUUUCUUCUUGGCCUUUACACACAGUAAAGGUUUACUGUGCUGCAGUUCUACAUGUCUUUAUUCUUUUGACCAUUAGGGGGUCUCCAAUGUAAACCCUUGAGAAAUUAAACAUUUUCAACACAUCUGUAAUAAAGCUGCAACUUUUGGGGUUUUGAGGGGUUUUUUUUUUUUUGGAGAGUUUUUUCAGGUUUGGAGGGUUUGAGGGGUUUUUGGACUGUUUUGGCGGGUUUUUUGGGUUUUGAGUUUUUUAGCAUUUCGGAGGGUUUCAGAGGUUUUCUGAGUUUUUUUUUAAUUAUUUUUUAUGGUUUUGGAGGGCAUUGGAGUGUGAUGAUGAUGGUGACAAUGUUGACGAUGUUGAUGACGACGAUGAUGUUGACGAUGAUGAUCAUGAUGACGAUGAUGGUGACGAUGAUGAUGAUGACGAUAGAUGAUGACUAUGACCAUGAUGAUGACAAUGUUGAUGACGUGAUUAUUAUGAUGAUGACGAUGAAGAUGAUGAUGACGGCGACGAUGAUGAUAACGAUGGUGAUGAUGAUGACAAUGACGAUGAUAUGACGGCGAUGAUGGUGACGAUGAUGAUGAUGAUGAUUACGAUGAUGGUGACGACGAAGAUGACGAUGAUGGUGAUUAUGAUUACGAUGAUGAGAACGAUGACGAUUAUGAUGACGAUUAUGAUUAUGAUGACGGUGACUAUGGUGAUGACGGCAAUGAGGGUGACAAUGAUGGCAAUGAUGACAAUGACGACGAUGAUGACGAUUAUGAGGACGAUGAUGAUGAUGAUGGUGAUAAUGGUGGUGAUGAUGGUGAUGAUGAUCUGAAGUCUUUAUUUUCUCCUACAGCGUGUAUGAAGCAGUGCUGCACGGAGCAGAUGACGGAAUGUCUGGACUGGAUUAUGGCUGAAUCCAUGCUGAGGGAGGUGUUGACUAAAUUAGAGAUGGUGCUGGACCAACAAACCACUGAGCUUGCUUCAACUACAGGUGUUCCAGGUGCAGUCUUUGGAUACUGAUGAAGAUUUACUGCCCUGCAAGAUCUUCCUCAACUGCAUAGUCUGGAGCAAAGGAUGCAACAGAGCCCAGAUUGCAAGCAAAAACUGGGCAGAUGUGCUUGACUGCACCUGGCGCAUAUUGAAGAGGGUGAUUGCUAACUCCCUGGCAAAGAACCUCAAUUGGAGGGGAGUCAAUGGAAAGACUUCACUGGCCACUCUCCAACUCGGAGAGGUCGUGAUUGAAACCUCUUCACGGCUAAAGCUGCAGAGAUGGAGGUCGAGGGGACCAUGAAGAGGUGGCUCCAGCUGGCAUCAGAUCGAGAGUGCAGGCGCAAGAGAAGACUUUUGAAAACUUUUGCAAAAAGAAGCCCUUUCCAGUAGCGGUUAUAUGAUGUUCCGAUCCAUCUUUUCACACUGAGGACAACCGAGGGACUCGUACACGACUAUUCCAAAAGGUGCAAACAUUCACUGAUGCUCAAGAAGGUAACAGCAUGCAUUAAGAGCCUGG